CUGACUGCUAUCGGAUUGAUACUAAGCCAUGCGAGUCAUUGUAGCAAUACAAGGCAGACGGCUCAGUAACGCGUAGUCAAUCUACCCUAUGGACGGGAAUAACCUCGGGAAACUGAGAAUAAUGCCCGAUAGAACAUUAUGCCUGGAAUGGUUUAUGUUUCAAAUGAUUUAUCGCCAUAGGAUGGGACUGCGGCCUAUCAGUUUGUUGGUGAGGUAAUGGCCCACCAAGACUAUUACAGGUACGGGCUCUGAGAGGAGUAGCCCGGAGAUGGGUACUGAGACACGGACCCAGGCCCUAUGGGGCGCAGCAGGCGAGAAAACUUUGCAAUGUGCGAAAGCACGACAAGGUUAAUCCGAGUGGUUUCUGCUAAAGAAACCUUUUGUCAGUCCUAGAAACACUAACGAAUAAGGGGUGGGCAAGUUCUGGUGUCAGCCGCCGCGGUAAAACCAGCACCUCAAGUGGUCAGGAUGAUUAUUGGGCCUAAAGCGUCCGUAGCCCGUUUUGUAAGUUUUCGGUUAAAUCCAUGCGCUUAACGUAUGGGCUGCCGGGAAUACUGCAUAACUAGGAAGUGGGAGAGGUAGACGGUACUCGGUAGGAAGGGGUAAAAUCCUUUGAUCUAUUGAUGACCACCUGUGGCGAAGGCGGUCUACCAGAACACGUUCGACGGUGAGGGAUGAAAGCUGGGGGAGCAAACCGGAUUAGAUACCCGGGUAGUCCCAGCUGUAAACUAUGCAAACUCAGUGAUGCAUUGGCUUGUGGCCAAUGCAGUGCUGCAGGGAAGCCGUUAAGUUUGCCGCCUGGGAAGUACGUACGCAAGUAUGAAACUUAAAGGAAUUGGCGGGGGAGCACCACAAGGGGUGAAGCCUGCGGUUCAAUUGGAUCAACGCC
rnacentral:rRNA from 1 species